rnacentral:rRNA from 1 species
GAGUACACGUGGACAAUCUGCCCCCCGGCCCGGGAUAGCCCAGGGAAACCUGGAUUAAUACCGGAUGAGACGGGACCCGCGAAGGCGGGACCCGGGAAAGGCGCUGCGGCGCCGGCGGGGGAUGAGUCUGCGUCCCAUUAGCUAGACGGCGGGGUAACGGCCCACCGUGGCGACGAUGGGUAGCCGGCCUGAGAGGGUGGACGGCCACAUUGGAACUGAGACACGGUCCAGACUCCUACGGGAGGCAGCAGCUAAGAAUCUUCCGCAAUGGGCGAAAGCCUGACGGAGCGACGCCGCGUGAACGAAGAAGGCCGUGAGGUUGUAAAGUUCUUUUCGGGAGGGGGAACAACCGUGGCAGGGAAUGGCCGCGGGAUGACGUGAAUCCCGGAAUAAGCCCCGGCUAACUACGUGCCAGCAGCAGC